rnacentral:tRNA from 1 species
GCGCCCGUAGCUCAGUGGAUAGAGCGCCAGACUUCGAAUCUGGGCGUCGCAGGUUCGACUCCUGCUGGGCGCG